AGCGAACGCUGGCGGCAGGCUUAACACAUGCAAGUCGAACGCCCCUUUCGGGGGGAGUGGCAGACGGGUGAGUAACGCGUGGGAACGUGCCCAUCGGUUCGGGAUAACCCAGGGAAACUUGGGCUAAUACCGGAUACGACCGUGAGGUGAAAGAACUUCGCCGAUGGAUCGGCCCGCGUCUGAUUAGCUGGUUGGUAGGGUAACGGGCUACCAAGGCGACGAUCAGUAGCUGGUCUGAGGUGAUGAUCAGCCACACUGGGACUGAGACACGGCCCAGACCCCUACGGGAGGCAGCAGUGGGGUAUAUUGGACAAUGGGCGCUAGCCUGAUCCAGCCAUGCCGCGUGAGUGAUGAAGGCCCUAGGGUUGUAAAGCUCUUUCGCACGCGACGAUAAUGACGGUAGCGUGAGAAGAAGCCCCGGCUAACUUCGUGCCAGCCGCCGCCGUAAUAC
rnacentral:rRNA from 1 species